GGGAGAUCCUGUCAGGCGGUGUCUAUGGAUUUGUAUGAGGCGCUGAGGGACUCAAGGCUGUCGUCUCUAAUACCUUGAUGUAAUACCAGGUAUCUCCAAGAGCUUCUUUGGGAAGGGAAAGGUCUAGAACCCACCUCAGCUGAGCUGGUGUGCAGUCUGCAUGUCCACUGCCCUUUCUGCUCAUCCCAGUAGGAAAUGGUGACUGUGGCAUGUUAGCCAGUCACCGGGACAGGACUGUCCCCAGGCGCUCUGAUGCUAAUACAUGUCAAAUAUUGGCACGCUGUCAGCAUCCAUGGCUCUGGACAGGAAUCCAUGAAAUGCUGGCAUGCAGACUACAAGAUUCCAGCAAGGCCUGGGAAUGUAGGUGUAAGUAAUAUGAUCCUAGAUGAUUGAGAGAAAUCUUAUUUGGGGAUAUUAUGGUCAUAGAGCUUUUACUCACUGGUCAGGGUCACAAAACUCUGUACCACAACUGGGUGAAUGGUUGACCAAAGGUCCUGGGAUUGUUUAUGGGUUUCAUCCCAUGAAAUGAUUUUUAGAUCUCAGCUACCUCUUGGAAUGGUGGAGUCAGUGAGCAUUAUGCCACUGAGUCUUCCAUGUUGUUUUGUUUUGUACAUGUACAUGUUUUGUGACUCAAGUGCUGCGACUUCAUUGAUGGCUACUAAACACUUUUCUUCUCUGUCAUUAGACUGGCAUUUAGGUAUGUCCUCAGCAGGCCCUGCUUUAUGAAGUUUUUCAUGUAUUUGUCGACUUGAUUGUGAAGUCUGCCACUUGUUUCUUUACAUUAGCAUGGAGCACCGGAUGUGGGCAACUAAGUAGGCCUUUUAGUGUAUUUCUGACCUCUUGGGGCUUGUUCACCUCAAGGCUAAUAAUAUUGGAAUAUUGUCUCUGUAAUCAUAUCUUGGUUCUCACUAUGCCCUGUUGGUCAGAAUCUAUGGGACCCCAGCCAGUCCUGUAUGUGUAGGUUUCAUGAGAAUUUGAUAUCUGGAAACCUCUCAUGUUGGGUCGUUGCAUAUGCAUCGUGUUUCUAACUGUGCCUAAUAAUUUGUGGAUAUUUUGUUUUAUGCAGUCAUGUACCACCUAAAAAUUUGUCUGGUUUGUGGCUGUAGCAUCCUAGCCUUAUCUUCAAAUUUUUAGUUUGUUACUAGUAUUCACAGGUAUCCUUACCCAGAGGAGGAUUAUGACCAUAUUGUUGGAAAGCUGUAUACUGGAUCUGUCUCUUUGUCUAGUGUCCAUAGUGUAAGACACCAGCUAAUCAUAGAUGUGUAAGGAUUGGGCAGUUUCAUAGGAGUAUGUUUCUCUGUCCAUCGUGGUAGGGUGCUGAUUGCUACAUUAUCUAUGCCUCAGUUUAUGAAGGGCAGGGGCAUUUUGGGUUUAGGAGCACUUACCUGGCUCAGCUGGUUUACAAGCUGUGUGAACCAGAGUAGGCCUUGGAUUUUUAGGCUAAAGUAGGUGUGUGAACAUCUGGGUCACUCUCUAGGCUGGCAUGGUCCAUACUCAGACUUGUUGUAUGUGCCUGAUUGUGGUAGUUGACUAUUUGUGAUCUAUAACUAGGUCUUUUUUUGUUAGUUAGCAUUUGCUUGGUUUCUGUGAAAUUAUUUUUCAAGUAUGUGCCAGUAAGUUUCCAAGGUUUUCACCCUUGAUAUUCCCUUGUAGGAUUGAGAGUUUUCUAGUUUGUUUCAGUUUUGUGUGUUUUCCAAUGAUAAAUUUGUGAACAAUUGGUAUCUUUCGUGUCCAUGUUCUUCCCUGCAUUGUCUGGUCUAACAAUGAGAGACAUUUCAGCUACGUGACUCUGCUAUUGCAAUGUUUCCUUAGACACAAUGAUUACUUGCUUGCUGUUUAAUGUUUCCUACCCCAUGUCUUUCAUAGCCAUUGCUGUUAUGAUAUCCAUGACACCUUCAUGUCUUUUUUACUCUAGUUUAAAUAGAAAUCUUUCCAUGUGAUAUUUUUCACAUUAAGCCCUGUACUAAUCAUAAUAGUCUGUGCAUUUUAUGAUUCCAGCUCUUUCUGAUUUGAUCAUUAAAAAGUGUUUCCUAUCCAGUUUUUAUUUAGUUGCUUAUGCUCUGGUAAGGAAGUAAAGCUUUAAACUCAGCCACUUCCAAAGAGGCCAUGUCAUGUAGGUUUCAAAGGAAGUUUGCCAAGAAGUAUCUUCUUUAUCAUUACUUAUUCUAGUCAGGAAGGAACUAUUGUAUUUAUAUGUCUUCAACAGCUAGAUUUAUUUUUGCCUACACAAUAGUCUUCAAUAUCUAUGUCUUCUCAAGUUAUAGCUGCCUUCAAAUCAUAUCUAUUCCAUAUUCAUUUUUUUCGAGACAGAAUUUCUUUGUGUAGCUUUGGAGCCUAUCCUGACACUCGUUCUGUAGACCAGGCUGGCCUCAAACUCAGAGAUCUGUCUGCCUCUGCCUCCUGAGUGCUGGGAUUAUAGGUGUGCACCACCAACGCCUGGCCUACUCCAAAUUCUUGUCUUUCCCUGAUAUAUUUCUUGGAUCUCUACUGAAAAUUUCAAAGCAUAAUUUUUCUUAAGUGUUUCCCCACCGCAGCAAUAACUGUUUGGUGAUUAAAAAGUGACUACCAUUUCUCUAUCUGCAUCAUGAAAUGUAUUCUUCAUGCUAUAUUUUCUACCAUACAUAAUAUUAUUAGGAAAUAAGCUUUCUAUCUUAUGUCUUUACUAAAACACAGCUCUUUGAUGCAUUGACAAAGUUUUUCUCAUCAAUUAAUUAUUCAAAAUGAGUACCCAUAAGAGAUAGAAUCUAGUUCUCAGUCUUGCAUAAUCAUUAAAUAUUUUGGUUGCAAACAGAGCAUCUAGUAUAACUUACUCAUAAGGGUUUUUUAAAUCAAGUUAUAAUUUUCUAUGCCUAUAUGUUUCUAACUCACAACUACUCUAGCAAUAAAUUGAAUUCUCUGCAGUCACAUCCUCCCUAUUGCUUUAGUACUGGAAUAAGUCAUCCAUCACUAUGUCUUUCCCUAGAUAUAGAUGCUGUUGACAAGAAAGUAAUGCUCAACUUCUAUGUCAUCUCAUUCAGUGCAGGGUUGUAGCUGUGAAAUGCCUUCCAAAUCCAUUUCAUUAUGAGCAAAAGUUGUUUGGUAAUGCAAGAAGUUUUCCAUUACCAUGUCUUCCAAACCCAUAUCUAUCCUGCUUCUCCUCUUCCAUAGGCUCAACAAAGUUGGUCAGAAAAAAAAGUUUCCAUCACUGGCUAAGAAAUAAGUCCUUCACCUUCAUGCUUUUUCCAGGUACAUCUACUUUGAUAAUGUAAGAAGCCACUCCUUGCUCAUGCCUUCAAAGUCUCUCUGCUCUGGUUAUGAGCUUGGCCUUUAAAUGCUAUAUGUUAUAGCUUCUUCUAUUAAAAAAAACAUAUACCUUCUUAUUUUUCCAAACUACAGCUGUCUUUGUUACAUAAUUAUUUUUUCCACUGUCAUGACAGCUUUGAUCAUGAGAGCAGAACAUUCCUUGCUGUUUGGGAUUUAGGAAUCCUUUGAACUCCAUCCCUGUCCAGACAUGCCUAUUUUUGUCACAUUCUAGUUUUGUUUUCCUCACUUUCUGCAUGUAUAGUUACUUUGUCAAGUAAACAAUGUGCCUAAAUGUAGUAUUUCUCCAGCUACAUUUGCUGUCAGUGUGAAUAAAAUCUGUUAUAGUGACCACAGGAUGUUUCCUCUUUCCUCUAUGGCCACUUCUUCUCUUACCACUAAAGAUUUUUCUGAUUGUGUGUCUUAUGUGACCAUAGCAGUUCUUUGGUAUUUGUAUUGUGAUAAUAUCUCAUCAGUCAGUAUGAUCUUGAACUCACUAUCCUCCUAUAGUGCUAGCUAGCAGCUCUUUGGUAUGUGUAUCUCAGCUUUACAGUACCCACAUAGUUAAUAAAUCUCUAUAGCAAUAUGAAUUAAUAGAUUGCUAUCUUGCAUACCCGCUUUUUGGGACAAAAGCAGCUAAAAUCCACUUAUUAACGAAAACCCUAAAAACAAUAUGGUCUGAUUAACUAUAGUACUCAUGCUGCCAUGCAUUAGGUCUCUAUCCUUGUUCCUGCUACACACCUGCUACUUCAGGGUUCCUUUAGAACAGUUCCUUCACAGAGCCAAGUGUCAUUCCAUCCUGGCACCUCCCACAUUUCCAGCUUUAACCAUAGCUUGACAGUAUAUAGAGGAACAAAUAAAGAAUAUGCUAAUUGGUACAAAGUUCUAGGCAAGGACAGCCAAGUAGAUGAGCCCAGUUUGUUCUCUUCCGGUACAGUUUUGCAUUUCUAUCUAUGCCUAUUUAUAUAUAUGUAUUCCAUUUUCAUGCUGUAUGUUUUGGCUUUUUACUCUGUCCAACCUGAGAAGGAGACUACAAGUGUAGCAUGGAGAGCAUAUUAUAAUUAAGGUAAGACAAUGGCCAAUUCAUGAACUAUUUUCUAAAAGGUGAAUAGAUCAAAGAAGCAACCAUUGAAACCCUCCCUAAAACAUCAGGAACUCAUUAGAGUACAAUGAGGCUUUCUAUGGACAAAGCCAAUUUCUGUCUAGGAUAGGGGAUCUGGGGAAGUAUAUCUCUACUCAGUCCCUUCAUCAGACCAAACAUACAAAGAAAACUCAGGCUUGUAACUUAUAAAAAGUCACUUGUGGUUGAAAUGCUCUUUUCAGAUGAAUACAAUGAAUGCUGGGCUUGGUGGUAUACUCCUCUAAUCCUAGCACUAAAAGGACCAAAGCAAUGGGAUUACAGCCCACUCUGGGUUGCAUGAUAAGAACCUGUUUUAAAGUGACUAAUAUGUAUUACUUUUACUCAUACAUGUUUUUCUUUCUUUGGAAUAUUCCUGGGUUUCUGAACUCCAUUUGGCUCAACAUCAUGUCUUCUUAUCAACUGAGGAACACCUUUGGACAUUUGUAUCUGAAUUUUCUUCAGGCUUGGUCUUUGGUACUCCUUAUGUAGACAUCUACACCAUAAUUACCGGUGUUUUUAACCAGAAAAACCACCCAUUAACUCUAUCAAGAGGAACAUCCAGUCAACAUGCCACCACAUCCCAAAAACCUGCCGAGGAACUUGUCACAAGCUCAAGUCCCAAGAUCAUCUGGAUAUCAAGAAUCACUUCUUUAUAUUUCCACAAAUGCUAGUUUGACUGUGCUUGUAGUCCAUGAUACUUGGGAGGCUGAGGUGGGAGAAUUACUUGAGUCAAAUAACCGAGUUUACCAUCCUGAACAACAUAGUGUGACCCCAUCUCAAAUCAAACCCAACCUAACACCAGAAAAGAAAUUCACAGACUUUCUAGGGAGCUUGCUGAGGAAAAACGAUUGUAUUGUUAAAUGUUAAGGGAUACUGCCUUUACUAUUUUAUAUUGAUGGUAUUUUACUAUUUAAGAUACAAAAAUAUUUAUUAUGAAUAACACACAUUCUUGAGUGAACUUUUGGAAUGGGUGAGAUACUUAUAUGUAUAUAUGUGAUGAGUUAAUAUUUGUGGCAUUUUAGACUGUGUUAUUUGUAGUAUACUGAUGCUGCAUUGUACAUGUUUUCAUUAAGUUAUGUAAGAUUGGUAGAUUGGAAUUUACAAAUACAAUGGUGAAUUAAAAGCAACUUCUGAGCCAGUAGAUUAAAAAUAUUAUGACAAAAACCUAAUAAAUGCUACUUAUAUACAAGAAAGACUAAAAAACAUAAAAGGCAAAGUCUGAAUUUCUCUACAAUGCAGGAGCCAGGUCCACCAGAAAUCAGUUGUGGUAUUCCUCCCAGUGACUGAUAUCAGCUGUAGCUGUCAGCCAUGUGUUCUCAUACCAUGAAAGCCCAGAAGAGAAGGCCUGGGCUAUGUAAAUACAACCAGAUGGAUAAAAUUACAUAUGUAAAAUAGGCUGUGAGUAGUAAAAAUGUGAUUUGAAAAUCUGAAGAUCAUUACACAUUAAUAAAGGGCAUAAUUUAUCAAGAAGAUUAGAAUAUUAACAUUCAUACACCAACUAUCAGGUACAAUCAGUGGGAGAUUUCAAUACUCUCAUCUUACGGCACAUAUUUCAAACUAAAAACCAACAAACAGUGUAAGUAAAUAAAACCAUAGAGCAUUUUUUCACUAGUUGAUGUAGCAACUACAUUUUCCCUCCCUCCUCUUCUUCUGCUCCCUCCCCUACCCCUUUCCCAUCCACUUCUCCUCAGUCUCCACUCAGAUGGCUUAAGGCUUCCCAUGGGAGUCAUCAAAGCAUGACACAUCAAGCUGAGGCAGGACUAAGCUCCUCCCUGCUCCAUCAAGGCUGAACAAGGCAUCCCACCAUAGGGAAUAGGUUCCAAAGAGACAGGUCCUGGUCCCUCUGCUAGGAGUCCCACAAAAGAUCAACUGUCACCCAGAUGCAGAGGCCUAAGUCAUUCCCAUGCCACAUCCCUAGCUGUGAGAUCCAGAGUCUGUGAGAUCCCACAAACUCAGGUCAGCUGUCUCAAGCAAUUGCAUUUAACAAAUACAUACAACGUAUUCCAUCCAACUAAUAGGGAAUGCACAUUAUUCUCAGUAGUACAUGGGGCUUUCUCUAAAACUAUUCACAUUAUAGGACACAAAGCAAAAAAAAUAGAAUUACUUACAUUUUAUCAGAUAAUAGAAGAAUAAAAGCCACACAAAUACUUAGUACUAAGCAAUACAUUUUUGAAUGAACAGCCGAUUAUUGAGGGAAUCGAGGAAAGUUUUUAAAAUCCUACAAACAAAAUUUUAAAGUUAUGUAAUCUAGCAAUUCCAUUUGUGGGUAUUCACUUAGGAAGAUUGAAAAGAGGUUAUACAAGAGAAAUCUGCAUAUCUUUAGUCAUAGAAGCUUUCAUUCACAAUAAUAAGAAAGUAGAAAUAACUCAAGCAUCAUCAGUGGAAGAAUAGAUAAAUGUGGCAUAAAUAUGUAAUAGAAUCUUAUUUAUACUUUCAAAGAGAGGACCAACUUGUAGAUGCUACAAUGUAGAUAAACUUUGUGGAUAAACUUUGCAGAUACUGUGGUAAAGGAAAUAAGCCAACCACAAAAAGUACAAAUGCAACAUUAUUUCAGUAAGAUGAAUGUUCAAAGUAGUCAAAUUCAUAGAAAAAGUAUUAAUAUAAUGGUGAUUACCAGGGUCAUUGUCUUAGUCAGUGUUCUAUUGCUGUGAAGACACACAAUGACCAUGGAAACUCUCAUAAAGAAAAGCAUUCAACUAGGGCUGGCUUGCAGUUUCAGAGGUUUAGUCCAUUAGCAUAAUGGUGGGAAAUAUGCCAAGAAGCAUGCAGCAUGACAGCAUGAAGGCAGAUAUGGUGCUGAAGAGAUGCUGAGGGUUCUACAUCUGGAUCCAAAGGCAGCAGUAAGAGAGACAGAGACACUAGGCCUGGCUUGGGCCCUUGAAAACCUAAAGCCCAGCCCCCAGUGACAGGCUUCCUCCAACAAGGCCACACCUACUCCAACAAGAAAUGACUAUUCAUUCAACAUAGGGCAUUACAUAUAAACUAAAAGCCUGACUACACCUAAGUUCAGCUUGGUGUAUCAGUGGAUUUAUUGGAGUUACUUAUUGGAACAUGGGUGAUUGGGCAGCUACAUUAUCAAAAAAGUCCAAUCCCAAACUGAGUGUCAACUGCAUGGGUGAUUUUGGCAGCCGAUUCACUGAACAAUCAACUCCAGCAUGUGUGACCACUCAAGAUGCUGCAUAACUAGAGUUUUGCCUUUAGUCAUCUUUCGCCUUCCUAUAUUCUUUACAACUUCCCAAGACCACAUAUAGGUGAGAGGUUAAGAGGUUAAGGUGUGGUGACCUUCCUUCUAAGAGUUAAUGUUAACAAUCCAAUUAUAACUGUUAUUAAUGUAGCUAUUAAUGUGUUAUUUUGCUUAUUUUAUUACUAUGGAAUUACUGUGGAAUUAAGGCAUUCUAUAGGUCAUCACAACAAUCUAGGCUUCAUGAUGGUGAUGGUCAUGAUAUGCUUGUAGAAAACAGUUAUACCAUACACAUGUCCUGUAUUGAGAUAUAAUUGACAAAUAAAAGUUGUAUAUAUUUACUGUAUUGUUCAAUUUUUUCCAUAAUACUAGGGUUGGAACCCAGGGCUUCACCAAUGCUAAGCAAUUAGCCUGCCACUGAAUCACAGCCAGACCUU
ensembl:lncRNA